UAAACGUCUAACUGGGUAAUUAGGGUUUUCGAUAACUGGGGGUGAAAUAAUAAUCGUUCUCAAAUAAAUAUUAAGGUUAACUAAAGGUCAAUUGCUGCUAAACAAUCCUAAAAUCGAAUCUAGUUAUAUGGUAAUGAGCGUGCCUUAUAUAAAUUAUAUCCCAAAUAUAAUCUCCUUUAAUUUUUACAAAUCAUUUGAGAUUAUUUCCUUCAAUUUGUUGUCAUCCCAAAAGAUCAUUGAGAUUAUUUCCUUGGCAAUUACGUGGAGUUACGUAAUUCCCUUCCUUAGGUGAUCCAUUUCUGCCGGUCGGUGAUUUCUUUGGGCGAGUGUCGUCAGGAGGGGUGUGACGCCCACCUGGCCUCCCUGGUACCGGCCCAAUUGUCUGGUCGUAACAAGUUUUGUUAAACUACGUAAAAUGCUCAUAUUACAAACGAACACCAGUCCCUGCCUCUCUGGCGAAAUAGCCAAAUGUGUCGGCAUCCAUAAGGCUUUCCUGUUGCCCUAAACUAUAUUGAUAAAUGGUGAGCCCCUUUUUCGAUUUUCGCAAAAUUGAUAAAAAUUAUAAGUUAUAACGUUUCGUACCUUCUGACUUUUUCGAUACCGUAUCCAUCCCCAUAAUCUUCAGUUCCUCUAACUAUAUAUUUAUAUUUUUGUUGGGUUAGUAUGCGAGCCACUUGAAUUGGAUUUACUAAGAACUUUUUGAUCGUGGGGUUAACUUGCUCGAUUUGAGAUGCGACAAUUCGUGGAUAAGCAUCAUAGCACUGAAAUAAAGGCCGUCUUCAAAGAAGCGUGGACAUAAAUAAACCAUAUCUUUUUUGUUAUAUACGAAACCAGAAAGUGGGUUACCCCUUUUGCUUGUACAAAGCGAAGUUGAGCUUUCGCAACGAAAAGGGAUAUUAUCUUUGGUAAUAUCGCACGCUUCUUCAAUUAGGUGAUAAGAGUGUUGGACGGAUUCAAUAUGUUCAUGGCUAUCGGUUCUGAAAUAUCUGCGCCUUAGCCCCUCGUUAUUUUUAACGGCGAACCAAGCAUUAUUUGCCCAAAUUUCGCACCUUAAAAUAUUAAAAUUAGUAUUAAAUUCCUCAAAAUCGGUUAUAUUAUUGGUAAAUAUUUUCGUACUUUCGCAUAGCUUCUUUUAAAAACUUUGCUUGGUCAUCACUGCAAGAAAUUCCAACAUAGCCUCGUUUAAAAAUGUGCGGAGGGUUACUAUUACCGUGGAAAAAGGAAACCUUCGUAAAAAUAUAAGUUAAAUUUCGGUUUGUUAAAAAUUUUAAUGGCUAUAAAACGUACGGCGUUUAUUUGGGCGGUUGGACCAAUUUGGUUGUUUUUGACAAAAGAGAUAUCCCUACCAAUUGUAGGAAUAUGUAUAGUCGCAGCGAAAACGCUAUAAAAAAAAAGAAAAACAAAUGGAAAACGCAUUGUAAUUAUUUCGAUGGUUGAAAUUGCGCCUGGAAAAAAGAAAUUGUAAGUAAUAUUUAAAUUGUUUUCCAUUAAAACGAGCGAACGGUUGCGUUAUGUAUAAAAGUAGUAGAAUACAAUAAAAAGUUACAGGUAUAUAUAAUUAUUUAAUGCUUCAAUGUUUUGAUAUUCUAAAGAAAAUUAAAUACGUAAUAGUUUGAAUUUAUUACAUGGAUUGUAUAUUAUAUAUAGGUUUAGCGUAGUUACUUGGUUGGAGUGGUUAUUUAAAAAUAAAUUGAGCGUUUUAAUACUUACACGCCAUUCCAAUUUAGAGGGUUAAAUUUAUAAUAAUAUUAUCAUUAAGUAUUUUAUAUGUUGUAAACGUUGUUUUCUAUAAUUUUAUCUAAACGAAUAUAUUUAUUUAGCUGGGUUUAUAUAAUCGAGCAGCAUUCCGCAUAUUACCAAUUUAAUCCUAGGGUAACUAAAGCAAAAAAAUGUCAUGCGCGUAGCAAAAUCGUGUUUAAGUAGGAAACCGCAUUAUGCUAAAUAAAAAGGUAUUAU
rnacentral:sRNA from 1 species